UCCUACGGGAGGCAGCAGUGGGGAAUAUUGCACAAUGGGCGCAAGCCUGAUGCAGCCAUGCCGCGUGUGUGAAGAAGGCCCUAGGGUUGUAAAGCACUUUCAGUAGGGAGGAAGGCCUGUUGGUUAAUACCCAACAGGAUUGACGUUACCUACAGAAGAAGCACCGGCUAACUCCGUGCCAGCAGCCGCGGUAAUACGGAGGGUGCAAGCGUUAAUCGGAAUUACUGGGCGUAAAGCGCGCGUAGGCGGUUUGGUCAGUUGGAUGUGAAAGCCCCGGGCUCAACCUGGGAACUGCAUUCAAUACUGCCAAGCUAGAGUGUGAGAGAGGAGAGUAGAAUUCCUAGUGUAGCGGUGAAAUGCGUAGAUAUUAGGAGGAAUACCAGUGGCGAAGGCGGCUCUCUGGCUUAACACUGACGCUGAGGUGCGAAAGCGUGGGUAGCGAACAGGAUUAGAUACCCUGGUAGUCCACGCUGUAAACGAUGUCAACUAGCCGUUGGGGGGCUUGACCCCUUAGUGGCGCAGCUAACGCAAUAAGUUGACCGCCUGGGGAGUACGGCCGCAAGGUUAAAACUCAAAUGAAUUGACGG
rnacentral:rRNA from 1 species